rnacentral:rRNA from 1 species
CGUGAGGGAUGACGGCCUUCGGGUUGUAAACCUCUUUCAGCAGGGACGAAGCGAAAGUGACGGUACCUGCAGAAGAAGCACCGGCUAACUACGUGC